UUAAUUGAAACCAAAAAGAGGUUUGUCACUGUUAAUGACAAUACUGGGAUUAACCCCAAUUAAA
rnacentral:tRNA from 1 species